rnacentral:misc_RNA from 1 species
CAACCCUCAAGCACUGCUUGGUGUUGGGCGGUACCGCGCGCGGUACGCCUCAAACGUAGUGGCGGCGCCGUUCGGCUCCUAGCGUAGUAACUACUCUCGCUAUGGGGACCGGGCGCGUGCCCGCCAGCAACUCACACUUCCAAA